UUUGCUGACGAGAAAGAAGCUUACGAAUUUUAUGUCCGCUACGCAAGUCAUGCUGGAUUUGAUGUUCGCAAGAGUCGCACAAAAAAGACGGUGCGUGAGUUUUGCUGUUCCCGUGAAGGGCAUGCACCCCUACCAAAUCACGACGAAGAACGCAAGCGAGCAAAGAUGUCGAAGAGAACAGGCUGUCGAGCCUUUGUCAAGCUAAGGAAAAAUCUGAAAGAUGGAUCUUUUCAAAUUGAGAGGCUAGUUCAAGAACACAACCAUCCUCUUGUAUCCACGCCCUCCCAACUUAAGUUUAUGAGGGUACACAAAAACUUUGAUCCUUCAUUAAUGUUGUUCGUCGAUCAUUUGCAAGCCGCAAAAGUAAAACACAAGUCUAUGAUCAAUUUGCUCUCAGACAUGCAUGGUAGCCGAGAUAAUAUUCCUUUUCCGGACAGGGACUUGGAGAAUAGGAAGGCGGCUAACAUGCGUAACGAGAAAACUGAUGAUGGAAACAAGAUGAUGGAAUUUUUCAAUGAAUUCCAUGCACACAAUGGAAAGUUUUAUCACGACAUAAUGUAUGAUGCUGAUGGUCUUCCGAAAAAUAUUUUCUGGAGCCAUGCUAGUUGCCGUGCGAACUAUAGUGAUUUCGGUGAUGUUGUUACGUUCGACACCACCUUCAAGACCAACAGGUACAAUAUGCCACUGGCAAUGUUUGUUGGUGCUAACCAUCACCUGCAGAGCACUAUUUUUGGUUUUGCCUUACUUCGUGAUGAGUCGGAGGACUCAUUCGUCUGGCUUUUCAAUACAUUCAAGAAAUGUAUGGAGGGCCACGAACCGCGUUGCAUUUUAACAGACGAAGACCAGGCUAUGGCAAAUGCAAUUAAAUUUGUGUACCCUAGGACUGCUCAUAGACUCUGUAGGUGGCAUGUCUUAAAAAAGUAUAAGGACCAGUUGAACAUCUUGUAUGCGAGUCGACAAGGCCUGAAGGAAUGGAUGCUCUCAGUGAUAAAUCACCCCCUAACACCUAAAGAAUUCGAGCAAGCUUGGGAUGAAAUGCUAACAACUUAUGAUCUUCACGGGAAUGUCACCCUUGCUGCCCUUUAUGAGAACCGCAGAGACUGGAUAGCCCCUUACUUUAAAGACAUAUAUUGUGGAAAGAUGACGUCAACUCAAAGAAGCGAGAGCAUGAAUAGGCUAGUAAAAAUUAAUUUUGUUGACCAUACCACUGCCCUGCAUAGAUUUGCAUGUCAGAUGUACCGUGUUCUUCAGGAUAGGAAGCACGCCGAGUCUAAACUCACACACGCAUCACAGGUACUUUGUCAAUCCAUCUUUUACAUUUUUUCUAUAUAA
rnacentral:rRNA from 1 species